CACGCAGCUGAAGUUGUUGGCGUACAAUGGUUACGAGUCUGCUAGUACAGUUACAAUAACGAUUCCGUCGGGAGCGAAGACUUCUAAAACCACUCUAAGAUGGAGACAACUUAGUAAUAGUGGCUCAUCAUACGACGAAUGGGCACUCGACCAUGUUUCUAUUACUGGCUACGUGAACGUCCCGUCGCCACCGCCAACGUCAACAAUCUUUUCAGAAGAUUUUUUCCCGGUGCCAUCAAUUCCAGGGUCAAAUUGGCAAGCUAUUUCAUCGGGUUCCAUCAAAACUCCGGACUGUGGA